rnacentral:rRNA from 1 species
GUGCCAGCCGCCGCGGUAACACCCGCGGCUCAAGUGGUGACCAUUAUUAUUGAGCUUAAAGCGUUCGUAGCCGGUCUGGUAAAUCUCUGGGUAAAUCGAACGGCUCAACCGUUCGGAUACCAGGGAGACUGCUAGACUUGGGACCGGGAGAGGCCAGAGGUACUCUUGGGGUAGAAGUAAAAUUCUGUAAUCCUAGGAGGACCACCAGUGGCGCAAGCGUCUGGUUAGAACGGAUCCGACGGUGAGGGACGAAGCCCUGGGGCGCGAACCGGAUUAGAUACCCGGGUAGUCC